rnacentral:rRNA from 1 species
UACAGAGGGUGCGAGCGUUAAUCGGAAUUACUGGGCGUAAAGCGUGCGUAGACGGUAGCGUAAGUCAGAUGUGAAAGCCCCGGGCUCAACCCCGGAACUGCAUCCGAUACUGCCGUGCUAGAGGAUUGGAGAGGUAGCUGGAAUUCUUGGUGUAGCAGUGAAAUGCGUGGAGAUCAAGAGGAACACUCGUGGCGAAAGCGAGCUACUGGACAAUAUCUGACGCUGAGGCUCGAAGGCCAGGGUAGCGAAAGGG